rnacentral:lncRNA from 1 species
UUGCUUUAUUGCUUUGAUCUGAAUCUGGUUGAUCUGAUUGAUCUGUUCGCCGAGCAAGUUUCCGAUCAGACAAUAGCUCACGUACGUACGUACGCAAUACAUAAACCACAGCGACCCAUGUACUAGACUCAGAAGAAUCGAUCAAGCUGCCUGCUUGGUUGCUUAUUCGGCCAGCUACGUGUGUCUUGCUAAGGUGAUCUGUUCCAAGCGUUUCAAAACCAACAAUUGGUAUCUAGAGCCUCGACGAUUUACGAUCUACGAUGACAGACAGCGAUGCUGAGUCGGUCAAGUCCGGAAAGGGCGGUGCCAAGGCGAACAAGAACGGCGAUAAGGUGAAGAAGGGCGUCAAGUCAGCAACCAGUGGUGGAGGAACGAGCGGCGCCAACGUCCAGGCGCAUCGCAACAUCCCCAUCCAGUACCCGAUGCUCAUCGAUGCCAACUACGGCGUGUGGGCGGUGAAGAUGAAGAUUAUUCUUCGAUCCCUUCGAAUGUGGGAGGCCAUCACGUACGACGACGUCGACGAAGAGCGCGACGAAGGUGCCAUGGCCGCCAUAUCUCAGUCUGUGCCGGAUUCCGUGCUAAUGACAUUGGCGGAGUUCGAGACGGCAAGAGAGGCGUGGAACGCACUCAAGGAGAUGAGGAUCGGAGAAGAUCGCGUCACCAAGGCUCGGGCACAAGUGCUGAAGCGCCAAUUUCACAAGUUGCAGAUGGAGGAAACUGAAUCGGUGAACGACUAUGCCAUGCGUCUUACUACUUUGGUGGGAGAGAUCCGCGCGCUUGGUGCAAAGCUCGAUGAGACCGAGAUUGUGGAGAAAUUUUUCAGUUCGGUGACUGAUAAAUUCACGUACAUCAUCGGCACACUCGAGCAGCUUUACGACAUCGACGACAUGACCAUAACGGAGGCGAUCGGACGCUUGCGGACAUGAGAAGAGAAUGCUCGUGGCUGUCGGAAAGGCAAAGGAGGAGGUAGGGACCAACUCAUGUACUCGCGCGCAGAUUGGGAGGCCCCAAGUAGCAAAGGAAGGCGUGACGGUGGCAAAGGCUCAAGCAACACGAAGGGCGAUGGACAAACCGAAAAAGGCAAAGGAAAAGGCAAACCACAAGGUCGUGGUAAGGCGGGCCAAUCUAAAGAGCAGAAACCACGGAACUUGGACUUGUCCGAGGUCAAGUGCUAUAACUGCAAUAAGAUGGGUCAUUUUGCGAAGGAUUGUCCAAAGCCUAAUAAGCGGGAGAUCAAGGCAAAUUUGGCAAAGCAGGAAGAUGAAGGUCCAGGUCUUCUGAUGGCCGAAGUUUGUGAUCUCGCUGAAACGGUGGUUGUGAAACCAAGCCGGGAGGUGCUACUUCAUGAGGAAAAAGUGACACCAAAGUUAUCCGGUGAUCAGAACGUGUCGUGGUAUCUCGACACGGGUGCCAGUAACCUGACGGGGUGCAAGGGGAAAUUCCUCGAGCUGGAAUACGAUGUUGAAGGCUCGGUCAAGUUCGGUGAUGGUUCAGCUGUGGAGAUUUGCGGGCAAGGAUCUGUCCUAUUUGAGGGUCUCACAGGCGAACAUCGCAUACUCACCGAAGUGUACUACAUCCCACAGCUUCGCAACAACAUCAUCUCUAUUGGGAAGCUUGACAAGAAUGGAUGCAAGGUGAAUAUCGAGAGCGGAGUGAUGACGAUCUUCGACAACCUCCGAAACGUGCUAGCUCGUGUUAAUCGCACACGGAAUAGGCUCUAUAUCCUCAACCUUGAUCAAUCUCAACCGGAGUGUUGGCUUGCCAAGAGUGAUGAUGAUUCGUGGUUAUGGCAUGCUAGAUUUGGACACGCUAACUUCUACGCCUUGAAGAAGAUGUCAAAGAUGGAGAUGGUAUCCGGGAUGCCAGUUAUCGACCAUGUUGAUCGAGUAUGUGACGGGUGCUUGGUUGGAAAACAGCACCGCAGGCCAUUCCCUGCUCAGUCUACCUAUCGUGCAAGUGAUGCACUCGAGCUGCUCCAUGGUGAUCUAUGUGGCCCUAUCACCCCGACAACUCACGCUGGAAAGAAGUAUUUCUUCCUUGUGGUAGACGACUACUCGAGAUAUAUGUGGGUCAUUCUCCUACGAUCUAAAGAUGAGGCGUUUGAAGCGUUCAAGAAGCUGAGGGCUACAACGGAGCUGGAACACAAGUUGAAGGUUCGCGCUCUACGAACAGAUCGCGGCGGAGAGUUUACGUCGAAUGAGUUCAAUGACUAAUGCGAGAAGAUUGGCAUAAAAAGGUUUCUCACGGCACCUUACACGCCACGGUAGAACGGGGUCGUUGAAAGGCGCAAUCGAACCGUCGUUGACAUGGCAAGGAGUUUACUCAAGAGCAAGAACCUGCCGGGGACUUUUUGGGGAGAAGCUGUCUCGAGGGCGGUCUAUCUUCUCAACCGGGCUCUAACGAAGGCGGUGGUCGGCAAGACUCCGUAUGAAGCAAUUUACGGACGUAAACCGAAUGUGUUUCAUCUACGGACGUUCGGGUGUGUGAUACAUGUGAAGACGGCGGAGCUGCAACUCUCAAAGCAAGUUUAGACGCAUCGAAUAAAACCAGUUUCACUCCUGAUUGAUCCGUUCGCCGAGCAAGUUUUCGAUCAGACAAUAGCUCACGUACGUACCGUACGUACGCAAUACACAAACCACAGCCACCCAUGUACUAGACUCAGAAGAAUCGAUCAAGCUGCCUGCUUGGUUGCUUAUUCGGCCAGCUACGUGUGUCUUGCUAAGGUGAUCUGUUCCAAGCGUUUCAAAACCAACAUAUCCCAUACCUUCUUGCUCCAAUGACAGUUUUCUCCUUUUCUGCCUCUGCCUCCAAACAAAGAUCCCGGCAAAUGCUGCCAAUCCUAAAACUGCUAGACCAACUAUAACUCCUGCAAUCACACCUGCUUUACUACCA